GAUGAACGCUGGCGGCGUGCCUAAUACAUGCAAGUCGAGCGAACAGACGAGGAGCUUGCUCCUCUGACGUUAGCGGCGGACGGGUGAGUAACACGUGGAUAACCUACCUAUAAGACUGGGAUAACUUCGGGAAACCGGAGCUAAUACCGGAUAAUAUAUUAAACCGCAUGGUUCAAUAGUGAAAGACGGUUUUGCUGUCACUUAUAGAUGGAUCCGCGCCGCAUUAGCUAGUUGGUAAGGUAACGGCUUACCAAGGCAACGAUGCGUAGCCGACCUGAGAGGGUGAUCGGCCACACUGGAACUGAGACGCGGUCCAGACUCCUACGGGAGGCAGCAGUAGGGAAUCUUCCGCAAUGGGCGAAAGCCUGACGGAGCAACGCCGCGUGAGUGAUGAAGGUCUUCGGAUCGUAAAACUCUGUUAUUAGGGAAGAACAAAUGUGUAAGUAACUAUGCACGUCUUGACGGUACCUAAUCAAAAAGCCACGGCUAACUACGUG
rnacentral:rRNA from 1 species